rnacentral:misc_RNA from 1 species
GAUGAAGAACGUAGCGAAUUGCGAUAUGUAAUGUGAAUUGCAGAUUUUCAGUGAAUCAUCGAAUCUUUGAACGCACAUUGCGCCCCCUGGUAUUCCGGGGGGCAUGCCUGUCCGAGCGUCAUUACAACCCUCAAGCUCAGCUUGGUGUUGGGCCCCGCCGCCCCGGCGGGCCCUAAAGUCAGUGGCGGUGCCGUCCGGCUCCGAGCGUAGUAAUUCUUCUCGCUCUGGAGGUCCGGUCGUGUGCUCGCCAGCAACCCCCAAUUUUUUUCAGGUUGACCUCGGAUCAGGUAGGGAUACCCGCUGAACUUAAGCAUAUCAAUAAGCGGAGGA